UUUAUGCUCGUUGGAAAUUGCAUGUUCGACUCAGGCACAUCUGCAGCUGCUGCACCCACUUCCUGUGCUGUUACCAACCCUCAAGUUAUAUCAAAAGCUUUAGUUGAAAAAAUAGUGCUUGUAACUGGAAACUGCAGAAACAUAUCUAGUUCCACAAGGCAGUUGAAGCUUUAAUCUAAAAAGCCCUUUAGUGAAUAAAAUUAGACAUAGGUCAUUGCUGAAUUCAGACAUCUAAUUAUUUUUUAAUUAGUAAAAAUUCUUGAUGCAGUAUUUUAUAUUUAUGCUUAUACACAAGGAUAGUUUUCCUGUUAAGUAAUCUCCUCCCUAUCAAUACACCACUAGUUUCACAGACCAAACCUUGGUCAAAUAUAAUUCCAAGCAACCUGUGAACAGGAGUCUGAUGACCAAGACUAGAGGUGUACUAAGAGGGAUGUAAAGAAAUACUAUGGUUUAGAGAACUUGACUGCAUUGCUCUAUUUUGGAAGCACUAAAGACCCAAGAGUUGAAUGAUCUGUGCAGGAGCAUAUUUAUAACCACAGUUUUCUUUUUCCCCGGCUGAUAAAACACAAGAGCACACAUUUAAAAAACUACUAGUCAUGAGGCAAGCAUCUUCCUGAUCCUGCUCACUGCCUCGAUGGACUCUAUCCUCACUCAUUGUGAAUUAAUAAACAUACUGAAAUAGUCAUUUACAAUGAAUUACUUUAUUAAAAGUCAACAGCCUAUGUCACUAAACAAGUACCCAGGCACUCCAAUAAAUACUGAACAGCAAUCAAGAUUUUCUGUAAUGCAAGAAAAAACUACCUAUAAAUAAUCUGUUUCAAAAUGAAAGUAGACAAUGCAAUGGCACACAAGGGAAUGGCCAUUCAAAGUUGAGGUUGUGUUGAAGUUUCUUUAAGAGAUUCAUAGUUGUACAGUAUGUAAACAACCACCUUAACAAACUUGACUAUGUCCAUUUAUGCUAAAUCCACUUAUCUGCACAUGGCCUACAUUACUGUAAACCUUUCCUAUCCAAAUCUCUUUUAAACACUGUAAUUGUACCCACCUACUUCUUCUGGCAGUUUGAUCCAUACAUUCACCACUCUCUGAGUGGAAAAAAAUGCCCCUCAGAUCGCCUUUAAUUUGUUCCCCUCUCACCUUUAACCUAUGCCCUUGGGUUUUCCUCUCCCUGAAAAAGAACUGUGACUAUCUACUCUAUCUAUAGCAUGUUCCUAUUAAUUGUAUAGUCUGCUGCAAGGCCAGCCCACAGCCUCCACUGCUCCAAGAAAAACAGUCCUAGCCUGUCCAAUCUCUCCUUGCAGCUCAAGUCUUCCAGUCCUGGGAGCAUCUUUUCUGCACCUUCUCUAGUUUAAUCAUAUCCUUCCCAUAGCUGACAAGAUGACACUUCUCAUAGUGACAAGAACUGCACAUAAUACUCAAAGGGCAGUUUAACCAGUGACUUCUGCAAUUGUAACAUGAUGUCUCAAAGCAUACCAAUACGCCUUUUUCAACACCCUGUCUACUUAUGUUGCCUAUUUUUAGGGAAUUAUGCAUUUUAAAGUCGAGCUGUCUGAUAGCACACCCCAUAACAUAGAACAGUAUGCAAAGGAACAGUCACUUUGGCCACAUUGACAGUGCCAACCACAUUUACACCCGCCCACAAAUGGUCUAUACCCAUUCAUUCCCUGUUUGUUCACAUGCCUGUUGAAAUGCCUUCGAAACAUGCUUUCAAAGGCACUUCCUUGUACCAGUUCCUCUGGCAGCGAGUUCCAGGCAUCUACCAUGCAGAAUGGCCUUCCCAUUCACUGUGUUCUCCACUUACAGCAGGGGUUCCCAACCUGGGAUCCAUGGACCCCUUGCUUAAUGGUAAUGAUCCAUGACAUAAAAAAGGUUGGGAACCUCUGAUGUUGUGGGUAAUGAAUUGCUGAAAUUCUCUGCUCCUGAGGACGGGGAGGUCAGAUAAAUAAAUAUAUUUAUGUUAGAGGUAGAUAAGUAUUUCAAGGAUUGAGGAACCAAGGAUUACAGGAAACUGAAGCAGAAGAGGAGUUUACUUCAGCCAUGAUCAUACUGAAUGACUGGGCAGGUUUGAGGAGUGAAUGGGCUACUCUUGCUCUUGUUUUGUUGUGUUAUGCUUCUGCACCACAACCUCUCACCUCUGCACACACUGAUACGCAGAUUCUUGGCUGAACUCAGCUCAAGUGAGCUGUGGUUAAUUUGUUUUUGUGUGGUGUUAAAUGCCACAAGGUUUUAAUGACUAGCAGUGGAAAUAUUCUUUUUUUUCUUCAAAUACAGAUUGAUAGAUAAUUUAAAUCAAUUUUGAAAGCCUGUGCAAAAUGCAAGAGAGAAUAAUCAAACAUAAAACAGAAACUUCAGUUAACAUCAACAUAAGCUCAGAUGCAGUUCCCUAUUAUGUGACAUCGAGCGAACCCUUCCUAGAAUAUGCUGGCUAAUGCUUACAUAUGUCUGAGAUUAUUACAUUGUUGAUUGGCUUAUUAUUGUCACAUCUACCAAGACAGUGGAAAAACUUUGUUUUCUAUGUUACUUAUUUAUUGAGAUACAGCACGGAUUAGGCCCUUCUGACCCUCCGAGCCAUGCCGACCAGCAAUCCCCCAAUUUAUUCCUAGCCUAAUCUUGGAACAAUUUAUAAUAACCAAUCAAACUCCAAACCAGUACGUCUUUGGACAAUGGGAGGAAACCAGAGCAUCUACAAGAAACCCACACCUGUACUGUAAAGUUCUGCUAACCACUAUGCUACUGUGCUGCCUUAUACAUAAGUGAAUUCCAAACAUAAGCAGUACAAAGGGAAGAAAAAUAAAAUGUACACCUUUUGACCAUGUGUGUUACAGGCAUUACUCUGCCCCUUCUUCACUCCUUGGGAUCAAGGGGUUUCCAUUCUGAAUCCAUGGUUGUGAAGUUACUGAUGUAGCUGGUGGGACAAUACAGACUCUGCCAAAGUAGUAAUUGAUUGGGCAAGUGGUUGACUAGUUUGGGAGGAUGUGGGCUCCUUCUACCAUUUUAGCAGUGUUUCAGUGUGCUCCUAAUGCAUUGGGCUUGAGAUUCUCAAUGCCAUCCCAAAUGCUUCUUCUCUAAUUUGAGCAGCUGUGGGCUGGGAUUUCCUGGGGUACUGGGGUUGUCAUAUUUUCUUCCCCCCACCCUCCCAGGAAUGCUUUGAGAACAUCCUCAGAUCUUUCCCUCUGCUGAUGUGAUGAAUACGUCCUGUGGCACAGUUUGGAAUGCAGGUGUUUGGUGAUGAGUUUGUCAAUGAUCUACCAAAAGUAGUUGACUGAGUGUAAGUAGGACCUGAUUUCCGGGAAUUAUAGAGUCAUACAGUAUGGAUACAUACAGUCCCAUUUGACUGCUUUUGGCCUAUAUUCCUCUAAAGUCUUCCUAUCCUUGUACCUAUCCAAGUAUCUUUUAAAUGCACGGGGACUGGGAGAGAAGACCAACAACGGUUCACUUAUUCUCUCAAGUGGAAAGCAGCAUUGGCACCCAUGUCGGACGACACACCACAUAAUGAAGAAUCUUCAAACACUUUUCCUCAGUAGGCCAUGAACUGUAAUGGUGAAGUUCAUCAUCGGUGUGUAUUUUCAAUGAGGGACAUCACUUCAGAUACAUAAGGAGUUCACUUUCUCCAUGACAUCCCUGUGAACUUUUAUUGUUGGAUGACAGCAUUAUAGAAUGGGGGCAGUUUGGGACAGGAUCCUUGCCUUGCAGAAGCAGAGUGCAAGGUGCACCAUUCCCAAUGCUUCAGUGAGUGAGGUUAAGAGCUGGGCCCAAAGCAAGUUGCUGGGCAGCGGUCUAGGCUAAUAUGAUGAACUGAUAAGUGAGGCUUUGGGCCUACUCCAGAUAUUUGGAUCUGAGGACUUAACUUUGGUUAGGAAUGCUGUUGUUCACUUCAAUUGUUUGCAUGGCUUGCAUUUUUUCCCUUUCUUUUGCGCAUCUAGUGUUAGUCUUUUAUUUUUAUUUUUAUUCUUUUUUUAAAUUGGGUUCUUUCAGGUUUCUUGCUUUGUGGCUACCUGCGAGCAAGCAAAUCUCAAGGUUGCACAGUUUAUACAAUCAUUGAUAAUAAAUAUACUUGAAUCUUGAAACAUAAGCAAUGCCUGAAGCAGAACAACUAUGGCUGGGGUGACCUUGAUUCUAUAGUACAGGAACUGUUUAUCUGCUCUAAUUCCCUUCAUACAAGAUCUUCAAGGAUACUGAACAGAGGGCAAGCACCUGCUGACUAUGGUACAGCCAUAGAGUGCAAUCUCAUUUCUUCAUUUUAAUUUUCUUCAAUGGAAUCAGGUCACACCUCAAUUACCUUAUUUUAUCUCAGAGGCUGGAAAAAAGAAGUCAAAUGGCAAAAGGCAUCAGACAAGCAAUUGCUUUUCUAUAGUUACCACUUUUCACCUGAAAAGUAAAUAACAUUAGUUGUAGAAAUAAGUCAAUUGCUGGUGAAUGACUGCAUUGUUUUAGUUUGCUUGUAUUUGCUGACAUUGCUACUAGGGAGUCUGGCAUACUCCCUCCUUGAUUUAUAGGAGGCUGGCACAAUUGAAUUAAAAUUUGUGUUACUUUAAGAGGGAUUCAUAUAAAAGCAAGAUCAAAAAUAUUAUCUCCAAGACAGACGUAAUUAUAGUUGCUUGUAAUUACUGCAGUAUCCUGACCCACUUAUGUCACUCACACACACCUCAGAUGGAGGUACAACACCCUGAACUAACAUAAUAACUCAAACAUAUCACUAACACCAACCAAUACUUUCAAUCUCAAACCAUGCUUAGUUACAGUAUUUGGAUGAAGACCACUUUUCAAAAAUUGCUCAUUCUUGCAAAUAAAUUUAUUCCAAAAUUAAAUGGAGCUUAUUAACAAGGCAUGUAUUUGGAGAGAACAGAGAGUAAGUAAGGAAACAAUAAACGACUAGGUAUAUGGACAGGAAAGGAAUGGAGAGUUAUGGGCUGAGUGCAGGCCAGUGGGACUAGGUGAGAGUAAGUGCUUGGCAAGGACUAGAAGGGCCGAGAUGUCCUGUUUCCGUGCUGUAAUUGUUAUAUGGUUAUAUUUUCACUUCAAACAAAGGCAUCUUCAUUCAAUUGUAUAAAACUUACAAAAAAGUGCAAAAAAUGAAUAAUGAGAUAGCGUUUAUAGACUGUUCAGAAAUCUAAUGGUAGAGAGGAAGAAGAAAUUCUUAAAAUAUGGAGUCUUCAGGCUCCUGUAACACCCUCCUGAUGGUAGUAAUGCAAACUGGAAACAAGUGUGAAGGAGAUGGGGAAAGAAAAAUUUAUGAAGACAUUUUACAAAAGUUAAAGAAAUUAAAGAUUAUUUCUGCAUUCCAGGAUGAUCCAGGGACAGUGAGCAUCUUUGGCAGGUAAUAUUAAUUAGAGGUUUAAGUGGCCUAGCUUGGUGACGGCUUAGCACAUCGACUCAGGCCCUUAUUAUUUUGUGUGAAGGACAGGAUCAGGAAGCAACCAAGGUGAGCAGUGGUAAAGAUAGAGCUGAGUGCUUUAAUCACAUUAACCGCUUUAGAAAUAUUACAGAAUAUGGAAGGUUGCAAGGCAAAGGUUAAACAUAAGCUCAUGGAAAUGCAAAAAUUAAGCAUAUUAUAACAUUUGCACAUCAAUAUUUUCUGCUUUUUAUAAAUUGCAUUUGACAAUACAGAGGCUCCUGUAAUAAAAUUCAGGAUCUGUUACUGACUUGGACAAAACAGUGAUCACACUUGUUAGAGCCAGUCACAUCUAAUGUUAGUAAGGCCAAAGUACACCUCGGCCAACAGCAUUGAUUACUGUUCAUGCACAGUUGGGCAUUGGUUUGUAGCCUGCUAGAAUGCGGACACAUGGGGCCCUGAAAAGAACAUGAAAAGCUUCUCCAUAGUGGGAGUCCAGGAGCUUAUUGACGAAAGCUGGAAGCAGAGGCAGGUGCUUCCUCAAGGGAAAGCUGGUAUCACUCAACGAGCACUCGGCCUGUGAGCAGCUCUCUACGCCUUCUCAGUCUUGUUUGUAUUGAUUUAAUAUUGUGGCUAGAGCUCUGCGUGGACAGCACGGAUUGAAGGGAAGUGGAAGGAAUGAAACGCGCUCCAUGUAGAUGCACUCAAUGAUCUGAGGAAGAAUUAUUUCACCCAGAAGAUGGUUGAAUUGUAGAAUGCAUUCCUUGUGAAGAUGCUUGAGGUAACUACCCCAAAACCAUUUAAGAAGUUUCUGAACAAGCACUUGAAUCACCAAGGCAAUGUGGGCUGUGGACCAGAUGCUGGUGAAUGGGAUUAGUAUAGGUUGACAGCUGGCUGACGUUAUUUUUGGUUUGCUGCUGGCGGCAAAUUUAAGUUUGGCGUUUUUCAUAAAUACAAGAAGGACUCAAAUAGACAUUGAGUAUUUUACUUAAAAGUAACCUUCAACCCAACGUCUUUUUUUCGGAGGUCAAAAUGUUUUUGUUGCAUGCAGAAAUGUAAUUUCGUUUUCUCUGCAGGAGUUCAUCAAUUUCAUAAAUGCAACACAUUAUAGUUUGUUUAUACAUAGCAUAAAGGCAAAACAAAACGAUGUAUGCAGUGUUAUUUCAUUUUAAAUGUCAAACGGGUUUUGUGGCUCCCAGUGUUUUCUUUUCUGUGGGAAAUGGGUCCAAGUGGCUCUUUCAGUGGUAAAGGUUGCUGACCCCUGGUCUAGGGGGUUGCUGGGUGCCAUGGCUCAAAGGAUUGCAAGGGCCCACUCUGUGCUGUAUCUCAAUAAAUAUUUUUCUGUAUGAAACUUGUAGCUAUGAGUGUUUCCUGGGAUCGUGUUCAGUUCUGAAUGCAACUGGUCUGGAGAUAGUUGUACCAUCUCCAAACCUUCCUUCACAAACUAUCUUCAGUGCUCUCAUCCCAGAGGAGUGAUGAG